rnacentral:lncRNA from 1 species
UGAGCAAUCAUUUGAAGGCUCGAUAUCAAGCUCCUCAAAACAGAAAAAGUUUAAGAAGGCUAAUUCAGCUUUAUCAUCCUCAUCGUCAACACCAAGUGCUCGAAUAUACUGUGACCAUUAUAAGAUCGAGGGUCAUACAAAGGAGAAAUGUUAGAAGUUGCACCCAAAGAAAAGACCAAAGGGUAAGACUGUGGAAAGAACAACUUGUAAUAAUGAACUCAUAGUAUUUGAUCA